rnacentral:rRNA from 1 species
AACGAACGCUGGCGGCAUGCCUAACACAUGCAAGUCGAACGAAGUCUUCGGACUUAGUGGCGCACGGGUGCGUAACGCGUGGGAAUCUGCCCUUGGGUACGGAAUAACUCAGAGAAAUUUGUGCUAAUACCGUAUAAUGACUUCGGACCAAAGAUUUAUCGCCCAAGGAUGAGCCCGCGUAAGAUUAGCUAGUUGGUGGGGUAAAAGCCUACCAAGGCGACGAUCUUUAGCUGGUCUGAGAGGAUGAUCAGCCACACUGGGACUGAGACACGGCCCAGACUCCUACGGGAGGCAGCAGUGGGGAAUAUUGGACAAUGGGCGAAAGCCUGAUCCAGCAAUGCCGCGUGAGUGAUGAAGGCCUUAGGGUUGUAAAGCUCUUUUUACCCCGGGGAUGAUAAUGACAGUACCGGGAGAAUAAGCUCCGGCUAACUCCGUGCAGCAGCCGCGGUAAUACGGAGGGAGCUAGCGUUGUUCGGAAUUACUGGGCGUAAAGCGCGCGUAGGCGGUUUUUUCAAGUCAGAGGUG